AACUCGAUGGCUGGGAAGUCCUUUUUGCUGAUGCUCAUGUUCUUGCGGAAUUCCUGUCUAUACAACCACCAUGCAAAAAGUAGCUGCAGUUAGCUUGGAUGCACGUCAUUGUUUGAGAUAAUUCAUACUGGUACAGGUGUAAUGAAGAUAUAUGGCUGACUCUACAUACCUGGCGAGCUGCUUAAAGUUUGCCUGAGACUCCUGUAUAUUGAUCAAUUGGCUUUUAGCAUCUCUAUUGUACAACAGUGAAUAUAUGCUGUGUUAAAUAGCACAACAAUAUUAUGCAUACCUUGGGCUUCUUCCUGAUUUCCCGGAGUGCGAGUCUGUACAGAGAGCACACCUCCCGCUGCAGCCCGGAGAGCUUCUUCAUUUCAGGAUCCCGAGGAUGCUGGAGAAACUAUUUGGCUUGCAAUUGGUGUACAAUGCUGAGCAAUGCUGAGACUUAAGAGCGCGGGAGGUUUAGUUAGUUAUUUAACGCAUGCCAUGCAGGCUCAUCCAUAGAGAAUAAUGAUGUUCAACUGUUGUUCUCAGCUGCGGGAGGAAAAAGGAACCCCGUUGACUAUUUAUUUAGCGCGCGGUAAAAUCAAAGCGCUAAUUUCGGAGCUCGAGAUGGACGGGGAGUGAGCAGAUAUUUUUGCCCAACCGGAGAGGAAUUGCAAUGGAUAUAAGUCCGGGAUUAAAUAAUUUUGUAUCUUAUCUAUAUAUCUAUCUAUUUAUCUAUAUAAAUAAAUAUACUGGUAUAAAUAUCGCUCUAGAUAUAACUCCCCUGUUUAUCCAUGCAAGAACAUUCUCUCAAUUCCGCCGCGAUUGACCUAGAAGCUAAACAGUGAGAAAGAUAAAGUCAAAAGUAAACCUGAACAGAAAAGAAACAACCAUGCCGCCCUUCUCGCGCCUCAUCCGUUUCCUCUCUCAAGACGGCCGGAUCUACUAUGGCGACCCUCUCCUUCCAGCCAAUACCACCGACAUCUCCCAAGCGACCACCGCCCGCCUCAUCUCCGGUGACAUCUUCCGCUCCCCAGUCCUAACAGGCACCACAAAGCCUAUUUCCCGCCUGCUCUCCCCGCUGGCCCAGAACGAUAUCUCCUCCAUCCGCUGUCUCGGCCUCAACUAUGCCCAACACGCCGCCGAAGCGAGCAUGCCCAUCCCCCAAUACCCCGUCCUCUUCUAUAAACCGCCAGCUGCCCUUGCGGGCCCCGCGGAUGAUAUCCCCAUCCCCCGCAUCGCGCAGGAGUGCCCUGGUGUAGACUACGAGUGCGAGCUGGUGAUUGUUAUGGGGAAGAAGUGUCGUGACGUGUCAGAGAAGGAGGCGCUGGAGUAUGUGAUGGGCUACGCCGUGGGG
rnacentral:sRNA from 2 species